UGAGUAACACGUGGGUAACCUGCCUUUGACUGGGGGAUAACACCGGGAAACCGGUGCUAAUACCGCAUGACAUGUGGAGGUGGCAUCACUUUCACAUUAAAGGAGAAAUCCGGUUGAAGAUGGGCCCGCGGCCGAUUAGCUAGUUGGUGAGGUAAUGGCUCACCAAGGCGACGAUCGGUAGCCGAGCUGAGAGGUUGGCCGGCCACAUUGGGACUGAGACACGGCCCAGACUCCUACGGGAGGCAGCAGUGGGGAAUAUUGCGCAAUGGGGGAAACCCUGACGCAGCGACGCCGCGUGGAGGAAGAAGGUCUUCGGAUUGUAAACUCCUUUGGCAGGGGACGAAGGAAGACGGUACCCUGAGAACAAGCCACGGCUAACUACGUGCCAGCAGCCGCGGUAAUACGUAGGUGGCGAGCGUUGUCCGGAGUUACUGGGUGUAAAGGGCGUGUAGGCGGGGACAUAAGUCAGGUGUGAA
rnacentral:rRNA from 1 species